rnacentral:rRNA from 1 species
AUUGAACGCUGGCGGCAGGCCUAACACAUGCAAGUCGAACGGUAACAGGAAGCAGCUUGCUGCUUCGCUGACGAGUGGCGGACGGGUGAGUAAUGUCUGGGAAGCUGCCUGAUGGAGGGGGAUAACUACUGGAAACGGUAGCUAAUACCGCAUAAUGUCGCAAGACCAAAGAGGGGGACCUUCGGGCCUCUUGCCAUCGGAUGUGCCCAGAUGGGAUUAGCUUGUUGGUGGGGUAACGGCUCACCAAGGCGACGAUCCCUAGCUGGGCUGAGAGGAUGACCUGCCCCCCGGGACCGUGGCCCCGGCCCAACCCCCUACGGGGGGCAGCAGGGGGAAAUAUGGCCCAAUGGGCGGAAGCCUGUUGCAGCCACGCCGCGGUUAUGAAGAAGGCCUUCGGUUUGUAAAGUACUUUCCGCGGGGGGGAAGGGAGUAAAGUUAAUCCCUUUGCUCAUUGACGUUACCCGAAAAAGAAGCCCCAGCUACCUCCGU